CAUAUAUCAACACACACAAUCAUACAAAUGGUCAAAAACUGUUUAUUGUUAGAUGCUGCAGCAGCACGGCUCAUCUAUCAUUCAUGCCAAUAGAGCACAGUGAAUUGAAGUGAAAUUAAGAGAAAUAGCAAGGGAGCAAAGGAAAAGGAAAAACAGAACAAAUCUGACUUGGCUUUGAUUGAAUCCUGCACAGACAGUGGCCAGAUACACCUGGGUUCCUCUGUUCAUCUGAAUCCAGAUAUUACCCCUGAAUAUAAAACAUCAGAAGCUUGACAAGCUGCCUCCAGUGUUUCUGAGAUAAGGUGGUGUUUCUUCAGAGGCAGAUCAGAUUUUUUUUCCCCUUUCUUUUUCUUUUUUGUAUUUCACAAAGGUGCCGCUUUUUUUUUUUUUCCAGAGCUAGGUUGCCAUCUCAUGCGAUUACAUGUGGAGGGAAGAAAAGUACGCACAGAAACACAUGCAAAAAGCAUUCACUGAAACAAGCAAAUCAUUUGAAAUGAAUGUCCCCUUCACUCUGCCCAGAUCAAAAGCAUCUUAGGUAACUGGUAAAAGUUCUUCUGUAGCACGGCAGUCUCAAUCUGGAAAAAAAAAUGUUUCCAUCACUACAAAAUGAAUGUUGACAAAUGCAAACACAUACAGGAGACUUCCCACUGAGGAGUGUGAGCCCACCUACACGGCUAAGAUUACUUAUUUAAAGCAGAUAUAUUAUCUCACAGCUCAAAAGCCACACUGUUCCCAACAGCUACUUGGAGCUGUCGUUGUUGAUUUACACUCAUUAGUUCAAAAACUCACUGGAUCAUUAAGGUGUUGUUUUCCUCACUGUUCCAUUAUUAGGGACACCCAAAUGUCAAUCUACUCAGCAAAAAGCACUCACUGUUGUACCGCUCUCCUGACCUCCUUUAGAAUAAUUCAUAUUAUUCAUGUUAUUGAUUAAUUGAACCAAUAUUUUAAAAAAUGUAUUCAUCACUUCAUAAGACCUAUUGGCACUGAUUUGGCAUUCCUCA
ensembl:lncRNA